GCCUUAGAAACUUUGGAGCUGUUAGGACUUUUGUCUUCAGUUGAGCCAUCUACUUUCGAGGGUCUUAGAGGUUAGGUUUCUGUACGGAGGAAACGUCAUUUUUUUUGCGGGGCUUUUGAGAUGCUGCAGUUAUCUAGGGUUCUGGGUCCUUGGAUAGAACUUGAGAUUAGUGCUUUCACCAGACUUUGCCCUCUCAUUCUUUUCCAGUUGUAGUUUUGACUAUGGAAUAGUAUUAAGACAUCCUGUCUUGUCAUAAUCUUGUAGCAUUUGUGUUAAAACUAGGGUUUGAAUGGACUGCUAAAUGGAACGUAGUGUGCUGAAUGGGACAGACUACCAGGGUGUCUAAAAUGUAAGUCUUUGGAAUCAGUGUCUUCUGCAAGCAGCAUGAGCUGCCUGGAAUAUUAAAUUCGCUUGUAGGCAUUUCUGUAUUUAUUUUUGAAAGAUUUCAGAAUGCUUCUUAACUGUAGUAUUUUCUGAACUGCACACACUUUUUUUAUUCAUGUAUAGCAGCAUAUUUGAGCCCACCCCCAUUUUUUGGUAGUAAAAUCCAUUCUAAACUGUGUAUUCAAAGUGAUUUUUUU